GUGUCAGCCGCCGCGGUAAUACGUAGGUGGCAAGCGUUGUCCGGAAUUACUGGGUGUAAAGGGCGAGUAGGCGGGUAGAUAAGUCAGAUGUGAAAUACCGAAGCUUAACUUCGGAACUGCAACUGAAACUAUAUAUCUUGAGUACUGGAGAGGAAAGCGGAAUUCCUAGUGUAGCGGUGAAAUGCGUAGAUAUUAGGAGGAACACCAGUGGCGAAGGCGGCUUUCUGGACAGUAACUGACGCUGAGGAGCGAAAGCGUGGGGAGCAAACAGGAUUAGAAACCCUUGUAGUCC
rnacentral:rRNA from 1 species